GGCUUAUACGGACUUCUACAUCAGAGAUUGGUCGCUGAUCCCUCAUACGGGGGCAUGUGCACGCUCUGUUUACACAUCCACUCACACCUGUGCACCCUCUGUAGUUCUAUGGCCUGGGGGGCUCUGCCCUCCUGCUGUGGCUCUACGUCUUUACACCCACACUGUAACAAAGUCUCAUGGAAUGUAUGUCGCGUUUAACGCAAUGAAAUACAACUUUCAGCAACGGAUCUCUUGGCUCUCGCAUCGAUGAAGAACGCAGCGAAAUGCGAUAAGUAAUGUGAAUUGCAGAAUUCAGUGAAUCAUCGAAUCUUUGAACGCACCUUGCGCCCUUUGGCUAUUCCGAAGGGCAUGCCUGUUUGAGUAUCAUGAACACCUCAACUCUCACGGCUUGUCGUGAUGAGCUUGGACUUUGGGGGUUUUGCUGGCCUGUGAGUCGGCUCCUCUCAAAUGAAUCAGCUUGCCAGUGUUUGGUGGCAUCACAGGUGUGAUAACUAUCUACGCUUGUGGUUUUCCACCAGGUAACCUUUAGCAAUGGAGGUUUGCUGGAGCUCAUAAUCAUCUCUCCUCUAUGAGGACAGAUUUUGACCAUUUGAUCUCAAAUCAGGUAGGACUACCCGCUGAACUUAAGCAUAUCAAUAAACGGAGGAA
rnacentral:rRNA from 1 species